UUGACGGGGGCCCGCACAAGCGGCGGAGCAUGUGGCUUAAUUCGACGCAACGCGAAGAACCUUACCAAGGCUUGACAUACACCGGAAACGUCUGGAGACAGGCGCCCCCUUGUGGUCGGUGUACAGGUGGUGCAUGGCUGUCGUCAGCUCGUGUCGUGAGAUGUUGGGUUAAGUCCCGCAACGAGCGCAACCCUUGUCCCGUGUUGCCAGCAGGCCCUUGUGGUGCUGGGGACUCACGGGAGACCGCCGGGGUCAACUCGGAGGAAGGUGGGGACGACGUCAAGUCAUCAUGCCCCUUAUGUCUUGGGCUGCACACGUGCUACAAUGGCCGGUACAAUGAGCUGCGAUACCGCGAGGUGGAGCGAAUCUCAAAAAGCCGGUCUCAGUUCGGAUUGGGGUCUGCAACUCGACCCCAUGAAGUCGGAGUCGCUAGUAAUCGCAGAUCAGCAUUGCUGCGGUGAAUACGUUCCCGGGCCUUGUACACACCGCCCGUCACGUCACGAAAGUCGGUAACACCCGAAGCCG
rnacentral:rRNA from 1 species